ACUAAAUUUUACUGCGAUUUUGAGCAUUUUUUUUUCAGAGUGCUAAGACGCAGUGGCUUCUUUCGCAUUCUGCACAUGCAAAUUUAUAACAAUUUUACGUUCUCACAUGCUCAAAGUCGUAAAUCGUAUUCGGCAAGGUGCGAACUGCUCCACCAUUCCGCGGCAAAACCAAGUGGCUGUGCAUAAAAAAUCGUUUAUGGCUUUGCAGCGCUCAAAUAGAACAAAGCAUAAAUCCUAAUUUACUUAUGUGAAGCUGCAGCAGUUGCCACUUGCUGUGUGUGUGUGUGUGUCACCCAACGGGGAUGCCCCGGGACGGGAUAACAUAGAGCCCAGGCCAGACUCGUAAAUCGCUCGGAAAAAGAGGGAAAACCCAUUCCACCUAGCCGUUUCCUGGUGGGAAAAUUGUCGAGAAUGAAAAGCAGCGUGUGAGCUUAGUGGCAUCGCGAUUGAAUGGGACUCUGAAUAAAUUUCACCUCAGCAAGUG
rnacentral:sRNA from 1 species